rnacentral:rRNA from 1 species
UACAGAGGUCUCAAGCGUUGUUCGGAUUCAUUGGGCGUAAAGGGUGCGUAGGCGGUCUGUCGCGUCGGCUGUGAAAACCCGGAGCUCAACUCCGGGCCUGCAGUCGAUACGGGCAAACUGGAGUGUUGCAGGGGAGACUGGAAUUCCUGGUGUAGCGGUGAAAUGCGCAGAUAUCAGGAGGAACACCGGUGGCGAAGGCGGGUCUCGUGGGCAACAACGUGACGCUGAGGAGCGAAAGCGUGGGGAGCGAACAGG